rnacentral:rRNA from 1 species
CCUACGGGUGGCAGCAGUGGGGGAUAUUGCACAAUGGAGGCAACUCUGCUGCAGCGACGCCGCGUGAGGGAAGACGGUCUUCGGAUUGUAAACCUCUGUCUUUGGGGAAGAAAAUGACGGUACCCAAAGAGGAAGCUCCGGCUAACUACGUGCCAGCAGCCGCGGUAUUACGUAGGGAGCGCGCUUUGUCCUGAAUUACUGGUGGUAACGGGAGCGUAGGCGGUCGGGAAAGUUGAAUGUUAAAUCUACCGGCUUAACUGGUAGCUGCGUUCAAAACUUCUUGUCUUGAGUGUAGUAGAGGCAGGCGGAAUGCCUAGUGUAGCGGUGAAAUGCGUAGAGAUUAGGAGGAACACCAGUGGCGAAGGUGGCCUGCUGGGCUUUAACUGACGCUGAGGCUCGAAAGCGUGGGGAGCAAACAGGAUUAGAUACCCGUGUAGUC